UACGGGGGGGGUAAGCGUUGUUCGGAAUUACUGGGCGUAAAGGGCUCGUAGGCGGCCAACUAAGUCAGACGUGAAAUCCCUCGGCUUAACCGGGGAACUGCGUCUGAUACUGGAUGGCUUGAGUUUGGGAGAGGGAUGCGGAAUUCCAGGUGUAGCGGUGAAAUGCGUAGAUAUCUGGAGGAACACCGGUGGCGAAGGCGGCAUCCUGGGCCAACACUGACGCUGAGUGAGCGAAAGCCAGGGGAACAAACGGG
rnacentral:rRNA from 1 species